UGUUUCCAGAAUAAAUAGUUGAUCAAUUUAUUGCUCUCAGUAUUAAAUGGUAUAUGAUGAUGACCUCAAUUGGCAAAGAUAACGUUGUUUUGCCUUCAUUCAAUCAAUUUACAAAAGAUCAACUUGCAAACAAAUCCACUGCAUAUUCAGUGGUCUGAAAUACACCUACAUAGACAGCACUUGAAGACAAUACGAUUUAUAAAUGAGCGCUGCACUUUUUGAAGAAGCUCUUUUAAAUAUGAAACUGCUAAGCAUCAUUGUACAAGAAAACAUUG